UACUUGUCUUUAAAGUAUUCCAGGCAGUUACAAAAAUUAUUCGAAACUUGUACAGAGGUGGCAGUAAUAGAAGCAUCUAGGAUGGCUCUGUGCCAUACACAGAGUGUUUACAGAAUACAAUAAAUAUACAGUGUGUAAAUACAUGCUAUCUAUGCCACCUGCCCUGCCUCUGUGGAUUGUACUGUACCAA